CGGUCCACGAGCACACGGUACCCGUCGGCCGCUUCGGGCUGCUCGUAA
rnacentral:misc_RNA from 1 species